rnacentral:rRNA from 1 species
GACGAACGCUGGCGGCGUGCUUAACACAUGCAAGUCGAACGGAAAGGCCCCUUUGGGGGUACUCGAGUGGCGAACGGGUGAGUAACACGUGAGUAACCUGCCCUUGACUUCGGGAUAACUUCAGGAAACUGGGGCUAAUACCGGAUAGGAAUCCUUGCUGCAUGGUGGGGGUUGGAAAGCUUCGGCGGUUUUGGAUGGACUCGCGGCUUAUCAGCUUGUUGGUGGGGUAGUGGCUUACCAAGGCUUUGACGGGUAGCCGGCCUGAGAGGGCGACCGGCCACAUUGGGACUGAGAUACGGCCCAGCCUCCUACGGGGGGCAGCAGGGGGGAAGAUUGCACAAUGGGCGGAAGCCGGAUGCAGCAACGCUGCGUGCGGGAUGACGGCCUUCGGGUUGUAAACCGCGUUCAGCAGGGGCGAAGCUUGUGGUGACGGUACCUGAAGAAGAAGCACCGGCUAACUACGUG